rnacentral:rRNA from 1 species
CCUACGGGAGGCAGCAGUGGGGAAUAUUGCACAAUGGGCGAAAGCCUGAUGCAGCAACGCCGCGUGAGUGAUGUAGGCCUUCGGGUUGUAAAGCUCUGUCUUCUGGGACGAUAAUGACGGUACCAGAGGAGGAAGCCACGGCUAACUACGUGCCAGCAGCCGCGGUAAU